AACGAACGCUGGCGGCAUGCCUAACACAUGCAAGUCGAACGAGACCUUCGGGUCUAGUGGCGCACGGGUGCGUAACGCGUGGGAACCUGCCCUUAGGUUCGGAAUAACUCCCCGAAAGGGGUGCUAAUACCGGAUAAUGUCUUCGGACCAAAGAUUUAUCGCCUUUGGAUGGGCCCGCGUUGGAUUAGCUAGUUGGUAGGGUAAAAGCCUACCAAGGCGACGAUCCAUAGCUGGUCUGAGAGGAUGAUCAGCCACACUGGGACUGAGACACGGCCCAGACUCCUACGGGAAGCAGCAAUGGGGAAUAUUGGACAAUGGGCGAAAGCCUGAUCCAGCAAUGCCGCGUGAGUGAUGAAGGCCUUAGGGUUGUAAAGCUCUUUUACCCGGGAUGAUAAUGACAGUACCGGGAGAAUAAGCUCCGGCUAACUCCGUG
rnacentral:rRNA from 1 species